GAUGAACGCUGGCGGCGUGCUUAACACAUGCAAGUCGAACGAUGAAGCCCAGCUUGCUGGGUGGAUUAGUGGCGAACGGGUGAGUAACACGUGAGUAACCUGCCCUUAACUCUGGGAUAAGCCUGGGAAACUGGGUCUAAUACCGGAUAGGAGCGUCCACCGCAUGGUGGGUGUUGGAAAGAUUUAUCGGUUUUGGAUGGACUCGCGGCCUAUCAGCUUGUUGGUGAGGUAAUGGCUCACCAAGGCGACGACGGGUAGCCGGCCUGAGAGGGUGACCGGCCACGAGGGGUACGGGAGGCGGCCGAGGCUAAUGCGGGAGGAAGGGGGGGGGAAUAAUGCACAAGGGGCGCGAGCGUGAAGAAGGGACGCGGGGGGGGGAAUGACGGCCUUCGGGGUGAAAACCUUUUUCAGUAGGGAAGAAGGGAAAGUCGGGAUCCGAGGAAAAGGAGCCCCGGAAAAAUACG
rnacentral:rRNA from 1 species